rnacentral:rRNA from 1 species
UACGAAGGGGGCUAGCGUUGCUCGGAAUUACUGGGCGUAAAGCGCACGUAGGCGGAUUGUUAAGUCGGGGGUGAAAUCCUGGAGCUCAACUCCAGAACUGCCUUCGAUACUGGCGAUCUCGAGUUCGGGAGAGGUGAGUGGAGCUGCGAGUGUAGAGGUGAAAUUCGUAGAUAUUCGCAAGAACACCAGUGGCGAAGGCGGCUCACUGGCCCGAUACUGACGCUGAGGUGCGAAAGCGUGGGGAGCAAACAGG